rnacentral:miRNA from 3 species
UAUUGCACACUUCCCGGCCUUU